GACGAACGCUGGCGGCGUGCUUAACACAUGCAGGUCGAACGGUGAAGCGCCUUCCUUUUUGGUGGGUGUGGAUGAGUGGCGAACGGGUGAGUAACACGUGAGUAACCUGCCCCCUUCUUCUGGAUAACCGCAUGAAAGUGUGGCUAAUACGGGAUAUUCUGGGUCUGUCGCAUGAUGGGUCUGGGAAAGAUAUUGUUUCGGUGGGGGAUGGGCUCGCGGCCUAUCAGCUUGUUGGUGGGGUGAUGGCCUACCAAGGCGGUGACGGGUAGCCGGCCUGAGGGGGUGGACGGUCACACUGGGACUGAGACACGGCCCAGACUCCUACGGGAGGCAGCAGUGGGGAAUAUUGCACAAUGGGCGCAAGCCUGAUGCAGCGACGCCGCGUGAGGGAUGGAGGCCUUCGGGUUGUGAACCUCUUUCGCCAGUGAAGCAGGCCUGCCUCGUUUGUGGGUGGGUUGACGGUAGCUGGAUAAGAAGCGCCGGCUAACUACGUG
rnacentral:rRNA from 1 species